GUGACCGCUUCCGCGCGUGCGCCCAGGAAUGCCUGUUAAAAGAAAAGGUGUCUCGUUCUUUUGCUGUCACCAAUAAGGCGCCUUGAUUAUGUCACCGAAGCCUCUUUCUUUUAUAGGCAAAGCAUUGCGGGCCUGUCCGGUGUGGCAUCUUCGGACAGAGCCUUGGCUUGGAGAGCUGGUUCUAUUGUGGGGUAUUACAACAUAUCGAAGUUGCACAAGUGCUGAAGAGGUGUGGAAUACAGAGGAGUCAUUAAGUUCCUUUACUUGAAAGCCGCACACCAAAGAAGACGUUUAAUGACAUGAAAGAGGUUUAUGGUGAUAAUUCCCAA